rnacentral:rRNA from 1 species
UUGACCUCAAAUCAGGUAGGACUACCCGCUGAACUUAAGCAUAUCAAUAAGCGGAGGAAAAGAAACUAACAAGGAUUCCCCUAGUAACUGCGAGUGAAGCGGGAAAAGCUCAAAUUUAAAAUCUGGCGGUCUCCGGCCGUCCGAGUUGUAAUCUAGAGAAGUGUUAUCCGCGCUGGACCGUGUACAAGUCUCCUGGAAUGGAGCGUCAUAGAGGGUGAGAAUCCCGUCUUUGACACGGACUGCCAGGGCUUUGUGAUGCGCUCUCAAAGAGUCGAGUUGUUUGGGAAUGCAGCUCAAAAUGGGUGGUAAAUUCCAUCUAAAGCUAAAUAUUGGCGAGAGACCGAUAGCGAACAAGUACCGUGAGGGAAAGAUGAAAAGAACUUUGGAAAGAGAGUUAAACAGUACGUGAAAUUGCUGAAAGGGAAACGCUUGAAGUCAGUCGCGUUGGCCGGGGAUCAACCUUGCUUUUGCUGGGCGUACUUUCCGGUUGACGGGUCAGCAUCAAUUUUGACCGUUGGAUAAAGUCCAGGGGAAUGUGGCAUCUUCGGAUGUGUUAUAGCCCUUGGUCGCAUACAACGGUUGGGAUUGAGGAACUCAGCACGCCGCAAGGCCGGGUACUUGUAC